CUGGUCUUCUUAUGUGAAUGGGCUUCUCCUAUUUGUCUAAAGAGUAGUGUUUACAGGUGCAUCUCCUAGAGCUCAACUGCAGGUCUCAUCCAUUUCAGCUUAACUCACUUUCAACACUCAAAAACCCCCACAGCAUGGUCCCGUUUCAACUUUAUCUAUCCCUUGUCCGCUUCAUCUACUCCACACAUCAAGCAGAGUGACCUAUUGUACUUAUAUGGUUCAAAAAAACACACAAGGACUCUCACCACUGGGCCCAUUCCCUCCAUCCAGAAUACUCUUCCUGCCCUCACAUUCUGUGUACCUGGAAAACAAAUGCUCCCCAUUCUUCCAAAUCUGCUUUACUGUCACUUUCUUCCUGAAGCCUUUCUCAGGACCCCACUAUUAUCUCUUUGACUUUUCACAGCAUUUGUACCUCUUUUCCAUUAUUGCUCUAUAUUAGUUAUUCUGUCUUACUGUUCUGUGUGACAGUUGGUUGUAUAAUACUCUUAACCUUGUUAAAUCAACCUCAGGCCCAUCCAGUAACUUGGACAGUAGCCUACUUGUGCAGCAAGUGUCAGUAGAUACUUGUUAAAUUGAUUUAAACUUUAAUGCAAAUUCUGGAACUUAAAGGCUAACACAAUGAAGUUGUCAGAAGUGACUCAAGAUUUUCAGUCUUUGGAAACUUCGAUUUUGAGAGGCUGCAAGGGACAGCACAGUUAUCUAGUUCCCACCUAGGAAAGAGUGUUUUCUCUAUUUAGAUCAAGGCAGUCAGUGGCCUAGGUAAAGGGUUCUUGCACUUGGGCAAACGAAAGCACCAUUAAUGGAGAUUUGUAUCAGCAACACAGUAUCUACCUAGUUUCUUCUGGACUGUGGCAGUGUACUGAUAGACAUGCUUUAUUCUCCUGGCCGAAUGCUACAAGAUGCACUUGCUUCUCAAUGUUCUAUUUUCCUGCUCUGCCUGUCUGGUCUGUGUUCUCCUUUCCCUCCAAACCUCCUUUUUUCUAGGGCUUCAUUUCAACCCCCAUAUGCUUCUUAGUCUGUGAGUGGCCUAGAUGUGUUGCUAAGGAAGAGCUGAUUUCCAGGGUCUUCGGCCAGCGGUGACCCACAAAAGCCGAAUUACUCUCUUUGUGUCAUCUCACCUUGGCACACAUCCAGGGGGAGAUAAUAUGUAUGACCUAGUGUGUUCCGAGUAGCUUUAAAUCAAGAAAUUGCAUAUUUAGUGCAGUUUAGUAGUCCAAGAAAGACCCAAGAGUCAAGAACUCUUAAAUGUUUAUCCCCGUGUGAAUUCAGAUUUAUUGGGGGAAUUUCUAGCAGGUCACUUAACCUCUCUGUGUCCCUACAAUAUUCCUACAAAGUACUGAUACAGCUGUUUUAUAUCAAUCUUGUACUUUAACAUUUUUAAAUUACAUUUAUUUUAUUGAAAUUAGUUUUCAAUAGAGAAUCUUCUUGCCUAGCAAUUUUAUCACUUCUGAUUUUUAAUAUGGAUUUCUACUUACACUAACUUAGAGUUUGCCUUUUAACAUUAACAGUUAGAUGUGGUUACAUUUCUUUUUUGUUUCUUUGUUUUUUUUGUUUAUGUUUACAUUUCUUAAAGAGUAUUUACAUUCAUUCGGAAAUCUAACAAAUUUAAAUCUUGGAAAGCUUCCUUUAUCUUCUUCUUUUAUGAAUAAUAUAAAAUUGUAGUGAAACUGUUAGAAAAGAGAAGGAUAGAAACAUGUUAAUGCUUUGACCCUGUAAGAACCUGGGAACCAUACUGUACUAACUGUAGACGACAUCUUAAUCAUCAUGUGGACUUCAGAUAUUCUUUUUUAAAACUUUACCUUUAUUUAUAAUCUAAACUUUAUCCAAUUCUGGUGUAAUCAUAAAAUGUAUAGCUUACUAAUUGCCUUUAAGGAAAUUUUUGCCCCAAUGAGCAUUAGUAUUGAAUAUGCUAAGCCAAAUUUAGUUAUCAAGACCUACUGAUCACCUUUCACGUUCAUACGGUCACAGUCCUCACCUGGAUUCUCCCUUCCAUUGUUUGACUAGUGGUCCUUUGGCGUGCUUCUCUGGGAACUGAUGACAAGAGGAGCACCCCCUUACCCUGACGUCAACACCUUUGAUAUAACAGUUUACUUGUUGCAAGGCAGAAGGCUCCUACAACCCGAAUACUGCCCAGAUCCCUUAUAUGAAGUGAUGCUCAAAUGCUGGCACCCUAAAGCUGAACUGCGCCCAUCUUUUUCUGAACUGGUCUCCAGGAUAUCAGCAAUAUUCUCUACUUUCAUUGGGGAGCACUACGUCCAUGUGAACGCUACUUAUGUGAAUGUCAAAUGUGUUGCUCCAUACCCUUCUCUGUUGUCAUCACAAGAUAACAUUGAUGGCGAGGGGGACACAUGACAGAUGGAUAACUCACCAGCCCCCUUCUGAGAAACAUCAUAGACUUUUCCAAACAAUUACAUUUCGUUCAAUUUUUUUUUCACUGCCUGGCCAUUGAAAGGGCACCAGAUAUUUUUUGCUUUUGCCAAGAUUGCACUAUUAUAGGACUCUAUAUUGCUAUUUAAAAUGACUGGAUUCUGAGGAAUUUAUUAGCCGACAGAGCAUCAGAGCCAGAAGCUUUGUCCCAUAGGCCAGUGCCCAACAGCAACCCCACAGCUGUGAUGAUGCUCCUGUGCAUUCAGGCCAAAACCUGAAUUCUAGGUUGAAAUUUAAAAAUCAGGAUCCUACAUGAUUUCAUAUGAGGAACGGAGGCAAUGAAUUCUGAGGACUUCUUGAUCACAGAAAAUUCAGAAGAAAUGGUAAAGUCCCAGACAGACGUGGCCCCAGUACCAAGCCAUUCACUUAGACUUAAAGUGGUUCAAAGAACUUCCAUGUGUUGUAUGGUCACUAACACUUUUUAUUACUGAUGUUGUCAUUUUCCCAUUAGGCAAACAUUCCCUUUUAAAUUUUUGUAUCACAUUCCUUUUCAUGGAGAAAUAUCCAUAGACAAUGCAGUGAACGUUUCAAAAUGGCAGGACAUGAAAUGUGUUUAUAAAUUAAUAGGUAUAUUUACAUAUUAUACAUAGGUGACAUUAAGAAGGUUCUCAUAAAGUAGCUUAGUCACAAUGAAAUAAUUAGUUGUCAUUUAGAAAUCAACAGAGAAUGAUACUAUUCUAAUGAUUGUGGACAUUUAGAUGGUUUGUCUGUUGUUGUUUUUUUUUAUGACGACUCUGAUUCAAACAAGUGAUUUGUGAUAAGUGUUUUUAAAGGUAACUUAGCAUGUUGUUAAAGCAGAAUACAUCUGACUAAAAGGUUCAUUGGUUCCUAUCAUGGCUCAUGUAGGGCAAAGAAAGGAUCGAUGGACUGGAAACGUUAGCCUCUUUCUCAGGUGGCAGCUUCCCACCCCACAAAUAAUUGGAGGUAAUAAAACUUUCUGGGAGUCCAGUUUUUCAUUAGAACAUGCUUUGUGGGAAGCAAAACAUAUUUUACACGGAAAUAAAAGCAACUGAGAGUUCUGGCCAUUUCACCUGGAUGAACAGUUGUUCUGGGCAGGACUUUUGUAAUGUUUUGUUCUGUAGGAUCUCGUGCUUACUACUGUAUAGUGCAUGUGGCACAGGAUACUCUGUUUUUGUCAGUGUAAACAUUUGAAGUAUUAUAUUUUUAUAAAAAUGUUUAUUUUUAAUGAUAUAAGAAAACUUUUGUUAGGCCACAAAAAUACUGCACUGUGAACAUUUCAGAAAAGGUAUGUCAGGCUUGGAUUAAUAAAAGCAUAGUUCUCAAUGGCUGUAAAUAGUGAUAAGGAAAUGUACUGAUUGCCAGUAAACCCCACCCUCAUUACAUCACCAGGACUUGAAGCCAAGGGUUAACACAGCAAGCUAUAAAGAGGGUGUGUUACACUGGAGCCCAAUGGUCGAGCUGGGCUGAUGUUGCAAGAGAGUGAUUACAACCUACACUCUUUGACAGUAGUGGAAUUUGCCAGAAGAAAACAAGGAAUUGUAGGGUAGAGACAUAUUCCAAUUUAAAUGUUGUUUCAGAAGACUAAAGAGUGAUACUAUGCACAAAUAUUGCAAAUGGUGGGUAACCAAAAAAACUCUGCAGAAACAAAUAUCUCUACUAAUAUCCAGAGAUGAAUGCAUCAGGAGCAGAAAGAGCUUGUGGAAACAACCCAUCAACAAGACUACACACCUGUAUAUACACUUGAGAAAGCUGCAAUGUCAAAAUCAUGUUUGCUAUUUAUAAACAUGUCCUUAGGUUAAUGUGUCUGGACAGAUUGUGAGAGUAAGUGGUUCUUCUAAGAAUUAGAUACUUGUCACUGCCUAUACCUGCAGUUGAGCUGAAUGGUACUUUGUAUGUUAAUAGUUGUUGUUUUGAUAAAUCAUACAAUUAAAAUAAUGUAUCAUCUUGUUA